GAUCUGUGUGCAGAUGGAAAGCAUGUCAUAGUGCAGUAUGUUGCAAAAGAAAUGAAAAUGUUGGAUAUUUCAGGAGAAAUGAAGAGAGAUCAUGGUACUGUGGAAAGAUUUGUGUGAUAAAGGCGUAUUAAGGAAAGUGACUCAUCGUUUUAAGAGAGCAGCUGUGAAAAAAGCCACAGAUGAGCAGCAAACAGGUAUUAGAAGCUGCUGGUGCCUCAACGCUGGAUCCUCCAGAGGCUUGCUGAUGUGCAUACAGCUGUAUUUCAUCCACCCUGAACCGAUGCCCACAAGGAGGAACGAUCACAGUGGGCUCAGAAACACAUGAAACUACUUUUUCCAACAGUUGUAUUCACUGACGACUGCCGUGCUUCCCUGGAUGGUGCAGAUGGACGGAGUUCACUGAUGUCCCAACAAGGCUGCGACGUCAGCAGGGAGGGGCUGGAGUCUUUGUUCUGGACUGGAAUCAUGGAAGGUGUCAGAAUGACCUCUGCAGAAUAUAUGUGGAGUUCCUAACUGCCCAUUUCCUGCUGAUGGUAAAAUAAUUUUCAUAGAAGAUAAAGAACCGUCCUGCGCUGCAAAACAUGCCGCUGAGGUCUUUACUGCUGUGAGCAUGAAGCGAGAAACAAUCAUGGUGUGGCCUCCAUCAUCCCCAGACCUCCAUCACCCCUAGACCUCUAUCAUCCCCAGACCUCCAUCACCCCUAGACCUCUAUCAUCCCCAGACCUCCAUCACCCCUAGACCUCUAUCAUCCCCAGACCUCCAUCACCCCUAGACCUCCAUCAUCCCCAGACCUCCACCAUCCCCUGACCUCCAUCAUCCCCAGACCUCCAUCAUCCCCAGACCUGCUUCAUCCCCAGACCUGCUUCAUCCCCAGACCUCUAUCAUCACCAGACCUCCAUCAUCCCCAGACCUCCUUCAUCCCCAGACCUCUAUCAUCUCCAGACCUCCAUCAUCUCCAGACCUCUAUCAUCUCCAGACCUCCAUCAUCCCCAGACCUCCAUCAUCACCAGACCUCCUUCAUCCCCAGACCUCCAUCAUCCCCAGACCUCCACCAUCCCCAGACCUCCAUCAUCCCCAGACCUGCUUCAUCCCCAGACCUGCUUCAUCCCCAGACCUCCAUCAUCCCCAGACCUUCUUCAUCCCCAGACCUCCAUCAUCCCCAGACCUCUAUCAUCCCCAGACCUCCUUCAUCCCCAGACCUCCAUCAUCACCAGACCUCUAUCAUCUCCAGACCUCCACCCUACAGACAACCUAUGAAGCAUCUUUAAAAGAAGCUCCAUGAGGGAAACUGGAGCAGAAAAGACUUUUAUUCUCCAUAAUCAAGGUCAGGAGCGUUUUUCAAUAACCUUUGGGAAUUAAAGCCUGGAGCUGCGCCAGAUCGUCCUGCCAAUCAUCCCCACAGCCGGCUGAAUAAUACACAAGUUGUUGACCUUUUGCACCUCUGCAGAUCGAUACUCUGCAGCUUUAUUUUAUUAAAAAAUAAUUUAAAAUAAAGAGAGAGUUGACGCGAUUAUCUAUUAAUAUGUGUGUUUGGGUUUGGAUUCCCUCUCGGCGUGAUAAAUAGUUUGGAAUAACAGAUGGUGCUGCAGGAGACAAAGCGGGGAUCUGGUAGCAAUUAUCCUCAAUUAUGUUCAUUGUUAUUUUGAGCUAAUUAUUGUUAUUGUCGCUUUUGUUUGUGCGUCUUGCGGCGCGAGCCUGCAAUAAGGAGGCCGGCGGAGGACAAUGAGGAGCGGAGAGAUGUUGUGGCUUCUCUAUCCGAGCCGGACCGGUUCGUCUAAAUUAAACCUGCGUGGAGAAGUUCAGGCUUCAGAUCAGAAUCACAGAGUGUCUGCAGAACACCAGCUGAGCUUCCGCUGUGGGAUCAGAUCGGCCUGAUCGAUUUCUUCUUCGUUCCAUCAUUAUAGAAUAAGAAAUAUUAUUGUGUUAAAGUUCCAAUCAGAUCCUCCAAAACUAAAUUAUUCGUGUUUCGUUUUUUUCCUUUUUGUAUUUUUAUAAUAAAAGCACAUGUUGGAGAUCA